AUUGAACGCUGGCGGCAGGCCUAACACAUGCAAGUCGAGCGAGCGGCGGACGGGUGAGUAAUGCCUGGGAAUUGCCCAGUCGGGGGGGAUAACAGUUGGAAACGACUGCUAAUACCGCAUACGAUGGGAUUGCCCAGGCGGGAUUAGCUAGUUGGUGAUGUAAUGGCUAACCAAGGCGACGCUCCAGCGCUGGUCUGAGAGGAUGACAAGCCACACUGGAACGUAGACACGGUCCAGACUCCUACGGGAGGCAGUAGUGGGGAAUAUUGCACAAUGGGCGAAACCCUGAUGCAGCCAUGCCGCGUGUGUGAAGAAGGCCUUCGGGUUGUAAAGCACUUUCAGCGAGGAGGCGUUACUCGCAGAAGAAGCACCGGCUAACUCCGUGCCAGCAGCCGCGGUAAUAC
rnacentral:rRNA from 1 species